rnacentral:tRNA from 1 species
AAAAUUAUAGUUUAAACAAACAUUUCUAUUACAGAGAAAAAAUGCAUAAAGCUAAUUUUG